ACAAAGGCUAUUAUUAAAUAGCCACUUAUAGACAAAUAAAAAUUAAA
rfam:Vigna angularis cultivar Jingnong 6 chromosome 11, whole genome shotgun sequence.